UGCUUUUUCAAGGCACACCUUUAUCUCUAUGUUGUUUCUCUAUCUUUGCAUCUUUCGUCUCCCUUACUCUUUUUCUAUCUUUUUACUUUCUUCUCUUUAAGACACUUUCCAUUCUCCUUCCCACAUUGUCUCUCUCUCUAAGUCCCAUUUUCUCUAUUUUCUACACUAACCCUAACAGUCGCCAACCCUCUUUCUUCACCCUAUCUAAUGUCAUCAUUUUUAUUUCUCAAGAAUCUUGACUCAAGAUGACGCGGGGAAAGCAGAAAAUUGAAGCGCAUGAGCAUAACACUAAAUAGAAUCAAAAAUCUAUAGGCUCUCAGAUUGAAGCCAAAGUCGAAGGUCUCAAAAUCACAUGCCCCAUCUGCAAGGUAAACAAAAGAUGCCUAUUUCUUCUUGAUUUUGAGCAACACGACAAGUGUGUAUUAGUCGGUGUUACACCAGGUAAGCAUCCUUUUGAUGGUCAAGAUAUAAAUGUUUCAUUUUUGACUGAACACUGACGGAAAGUGUAUCACCCUCAACCGCAUUGGUGAACCUUAACCCUUCUUACUGGGAUGAGAGAUUCUCGAAGGAGGAGAAGUAUGAGCUAUUCAAGGAUUAUUCCCAUUUUCGUCACAUUAUUCAUCCCUAUCUAACGCCCAAUUCAUUUGUUCUGGAGCUUGGAUGUGGAAACACACCAGUGUGGGAUGGUUUAUAUAAGGAUUAAACGACCAAUAUAACUUGCAUUGACCUUCCAUAUGUUGCAGUCAAUAGUAUGCAAAACUGUUUACUUUCUCAGGGAUUCAAAUGUUCAAUUUAGCUUCCAUAUACUUCCUUUGGUUUUUCAAUUCAUUCAAUAAGAUAAGAUCAAAUCAAAUCUAACAUAGCCCUUAGAAUGCAGUCAAGCAGAUUUAUAUUCUCUUGAUGGAGAACUUUUGGCCAGCAAUUCAUUCUUCAUUUGAUGCUAAACGCGGAUAAGGAAUUUCUCGCCCAAAAGAGUGCUCUUCAUCGAGACUUCUUCAAUGUUAGGAAAGUUGAUACUCAUGUCCACCUCUCAGCAUGCAUGAAUCAAAAGCAUCUUUUAAGGUUUAUAAAUUCUAAGAUGAGAAAUAAACCUGGCGAGAGCUUGCGAUUUUCACGGUGAAAGGAAUGGAUUGGGCUUUGGCGGCUAAUCUGUUAUCACUUCAAAGACUCUUGAUUAUUGUUGGUUUCGGCUCCGCAGUGGAGUUGGCUUUGACGACGAGAAGGUACACUCCACCGGGAUGGAUUAGUUAAAGGUUAUCCAAGGGUAGCCCCUGAAGUUACAAGGGACAUGUAUUUGCUGGCUCGAAUGAUGGCAGCUAAAUUAUACUUCUCUCAGAUAGAGGAUCUCAUGUUUUAGUUGUCUAUUUGGCGUUGCAAUGACAAGCUUCGUGUUAGGGAUGAUGAGCUCCAUAUAUCAUCUAAGAAAGGUGCAAAACAUUAUAUUUGUUCCUCCAAACGAGCCAUAUCGUGUUACAGUAGGAGAUGUGAAGGGUAAACUGUAUAAUACACGUGAAUCACCAAUUGCAAGUGGUGACCGACUAAUUGCAGAUGGAAGCCUCUUGAACUAUGUCAUAGGUCACUUUGUGCAAGUGGUGACCAACCAAUUGUAGAUGGAAGCCUACUCAAUUUCUUGCUGCAAGUUUCUACAUUUCUUGCUGCAAGUUUCUACAUUUAGGCCAAUUGCAGAUGGAAGCCUACUUGCAUGUUUCUUUGUAUAUUUCUCCUAUUUUUUAUUGCUUGGACCAAAUGAGUAUGUUUGAGAGAUUUGUUUGUCAUAGUUUCUCUAUCUUGCAGACAUAUGUCUUUUGCUAAAUGCUAAGGCUAAACAACUUUUUUCCCAGACUGUUAGUUUUUCAUUGUUUAAUCUAUUGUUGAGUUUGUGUU